UGCCAGCAGCCGCGGUAAUACGGGGGUGGCUAGCGUUGCUCGGAUUUACUGGGCGUAAAGCGUACGUAGGCGGUUCUAUAAGCCUUAGUUGAAAGGCUACGGCUCAACCGUAGUUAGGCUAGGGAACUGUAGGACUUGAGGAUGGGAGAGGCGAGUGGAAUUCCCGGUGUAAGGGUGAAAUCUGUAGAGAUCGGGAGGAACACCAGUGGCGUAGGCGGCUCGCUGGACCAUUUCUGACGCUGAGGUACGAAAGCGUGGGGAGCAAACAGGAUUAGAUA
rnacentral:rRNA from 1 species